UAGUCCACGCCGUAAACGAUGGAUACUAGCUGUCCGGGUCCUUGAGACCUGGGCGGCCAAGCGAAAGUGAUAAGUAUCCCACCUGGGGAGUACGUUCGCAAGAAUGAAACUCAAAGGAAUUGACGGGGGCCCGCACAAGCGGUGGAGCAUGUGGUUUAAUUCGAUGAUACGCGAGGAACCUUACCAGGGCUUAAAUGCAUAUUGACAGGUCUAGAGAUAGACUUUCCUUCGGGCAAUUUGCAAGGUGCUGCAUGGUUGUCGUCAGCUCGUGCCGUGAGGUGUCAGGUUAAGUCCUAUAACGAGCGCAACCCCUGUCGUUAGUUGCCAGCAUGUCAUGAUGGGGACUCUAACGAGACUGCCGGUGCAAACCGUGAGGAAGGUGGGGACGACGUCAAAUCAUCACGGGCCCUUACGUCCUGGGGCUACACACGUGCUACAAUGGCCGGUACAGCGAGCAGCCACUCCGCAAGGGAGGAGCGAAUCUAUAAAACCGGGUCACAGUUCGGGAAUC
rnacentral:rRNA from 1 species